rnacentral:rRNA from 1 species
GGAUUGCAGCCUGCAACUCGGCUGCAUGAAGCUGGAAUCGCUAGUAAUCGCGAAUCAGAAUGUCGCGGUGAAUACGUUCCCGGGUCUUGUACACACCGCCCGUCACACCAUGGGAGUUGGAAAUGCCCGAAGUCAGUGACCCAACCGGAAGGAGGGAGCCGCCGAAGGCAGGUCUGAUAACUGGGGUGAAGUCGUAACAAGGUACC